GAAAAUAGGUUUUGACGUGGGCCGCAAUUAAAAAUGAUUAAAAAGAAUUAGUGGCAAAACAAAACCAGGUAGACUCCAAGCUCGCAACACAGCGAGUGGAGCUUAGACGCGCAACGGCCAAAGUGCUCUGCUUUGCCAUGAGAACAGCGUUUUGCAAAAACUCACCAACUUCGUGAUUUAGGAGCACAUAGGCUCCCCCGAGCAAAUACGAAGUAGAUCCGAUGGACGCAUCCAUCCAUCUUCUUCCGCUUAUCAGGGGUCGGAUCGUGGGGGCAGCGGCUUAAGGAGGGACUCCCAGACAUACCCUCUCCCCAGCCACUUUGUCCAGCUCAUCCCGGGGUAUCCCAAGGCGUUCCCUGGCAGGGCCGGACUGGGAGAUUUUUUCAGGCCAUGAGUCAGUUAUGUAACCAGGCCACCCUGGCCUUGCCCACACGUGCAUGUUCACACCCACA